GAGAGAUGGCCGAGUGGUCGAAGGCGCUUGCCUGCUAAGCAAGUGUAGGAUUUUCCUACCGUGGGUUCAAAUCCCACUCUCUCC
rnacentral:tRNA from 1 species